CACGCCCCCUCAACGGUGGCCUGUUUGCCCCAAAACUCCGUAGUCGUGUGCGCUAACCAACGUUUGAAUAAAAAGGGACACAGACUCUGAGGCAGGACAACUUCCGGAGCAGAGGGCUACGCGCCGGAAUUGCGCGUUUCUAUGGAAACCAGGCGUGAACGGUGGCCCCUGGGCGCUCUGCGAUCUAUGUGGAAACUGACUUCCAAGGAGGACUCCAGGGCUGGUUGUAAUCUCCGGAGCCCAGUACAAAAUGAAAAUGCAGAACUCCUCAUUCAAAAAGUCCUUCACCAAGACACCUGUGACUAAACUAUUUAAGCAGUCUGCUGAGCCUUGACUUAUCACAUUUGCCGCAGCAGCCUCAAAUCCAUUAUGGGGAAAUUUCAAUUUACAACCACCACAGGCCACAUCAGAAAGACAGAUGCUCUAAAAGAAUUUAGUCCUCCAACAAAGACACCCUCUGAAACACCAGUGGAUCACAAGAUUGGAAUGACCCAUUCUUAUUCAAAAAAUAAUAAGCAGUAGAGAUCCAAUAUGAUGCGGAUGGUCUAAUGCCAUUACUUCUGUCUCAAGAAAGAGAGCCCAAAAUGUAACAGUGUGAUUCAGAAUGUAUAAAAAAAGAUCCUGAAGACUCUUAAGGGCCAGAAGUGGUGACUCAAUAUUGGAAUUUAAAUUUAAUCCUUGGUGAUUUGGAGCAAGACUUGAAUAAAAA